CAGCUCUUUGGGUUGCAGAAUCGAUUCCUCUAUCUCCUUUUGGAGUAAGUGUUGCUCUCCACGUGGAUGAUAAUCAGAUUUUCUCUCCCUUUGAUUUUAUGUUCAUUCGUGUUUGUUCCACCCAGAUUCGCAAAGGAAUUAUUUAUUUGUCUUUAGAGUUCAGUAAUGUUCCUAGCCUAUGUCUUGGUGCUGGUCCUUUUGGGUUGAUAUUCUCAGGUACUCACUGUGCUCUUUCAGAAUGUAGUUUCAACUUUUUUUGUUGUUGUUGUUUUGUUUUCUAAAUUCUAAAUUAUGGGAAAGUUUUUUUUUUUUUUUGCCAUUGCAGAGUUCAGUAUUUGUUCUGCUAUUUUACUUCAGGUUUUUUCUCUAGAUACUUUAUUACCUAUAUGCUGAAUCUUUUUUGCCUAUUUGUCAUUUUUUAUUUUUUCUUUUUAUUUUUUCCUUUAUGUCUUUAUGACUAAAACAAAUUUCUCCUAUUUCUCUCAAUGCAUUGACUGCCUGUUAUUUGCCCUUGUGUUCCUUCCAGUUUAGCCCUCAUUUCUGAGAUGAUUUUCAUUUGUCCUGAAUUCUUUCCCAAGUCAUCUUUUUUCCAGGUUUCCCUUGCUUCUCUCUUCUCCCUCCACACAGACGCUGGUAUCACGCAGGGCCGUGGCCAUGGUGGUCACCUCCACUUGCUUUUACGUAGGGCCUAGAGGGUGGGGACUGUAUCAUCUAGUUUUGUUGUUUUUGGCCAUUUGCCCAUGUGUUUUUGGUUUUACUAUCUAAUUUCCAUGUUAUUUUUGUGUAGGAUUCAAGGAGAUUCAAAACCCGUGUCACUGCUGCCAUCUUCCUAGAAUCCCUUUAAAUCCUCAUGGAUUUGCUGACAUUGGGAGCAUCCUGAAAGAGUCCCCAUGCUAGGGUGGCUGCAGUAACAGGUACAAUGAGAAAUGAUGGUUCUCCCCACUCCAGAAAAAAUCAAAUCAGAUUGUGAAUUUAUUCCCUGACAUUAACACACGGCAUUACAGGAGCAUGUACAUCACAUGGUCAAUUUAUUGGCAUGAGGAUUAUGUCAUCGGGGAAUAAAUGGGAAAUUCUCAAGGUACUUUGCUCCAGUAAUCAGGACUUUAUUUAUCUCUAAGCUAAAAGAGGGGAUUGACUUCUUUAAUGAUGAUCAGAAAAUGCUUUUAGGAAGAUUCCUUUCCUAUUAAACAAUUUCUUAAAGUUGCAGUAAAUGUUGUGUGGCUUGUCUAUGCCCAAGGCUUGGCAGCACACUUUCCUUUGUCUUCAAAACCAUGGGAAAGAAUGUCACAGGAGUCUUGGAGGAAAAAUAAUUACAAAGAGGAAAAGGUUGAUCAAGGGCCAGUUAAUGUUACUGAUGACAUAUCGGUAAGGUUCUCCAGGCCCAAUUCUUUUUGGGGGACUUUGGCUCCACAAGCAAAUGCCACUUGGUGAUAUGGCUCCCAGCACUGGCCACCUCAGUGUUCCCUACACUACUGGAGAAAUUUAGGCCUAAAUUAAAAUCAGAGUCAUGCAACUUGAUUAUAUUUUGGCAGUUUGAUUUAAGUGCAAGUUCUUUGAAAUGUAAGGGUGUGAUUGGUUUUUAGUGAUGUAAACUAAAAGGUCUGUUACUUCCAGGUGGCCCAGGCCUGUAGGCUUCCAGUGAGAAAACUGGAGACCACACUCACCCGUCCCACUGCCGUUUCUUUGGGGCUGCCUGUGAUACUGGGUUAUUCCCCUUGCCGAGUUCCACUGUGCUUACCCUGUUGGAAUAUGAUGGUGGACUUGCCAGAGGAGAUGACCAUGAUUUUCAGGAACAGCAGCCCCUCCUUCCUGGUUGAGGCAGCCAGCAGGCACUCCUAUCCAUGAGCCACAGCUCAGCUAAGGCAAUCCAGUCCAGCUGCAUGCCCUCUCUCUGCUUCUGGGGAGGUAGGAAGGACCAGGGGCAUUCAUGCUUGUUUCUAGGGGGCCCUAACUGGAUCUCUGGAUCAAGACCUACUCAGGGGAGAAAGACUACUCUGGGUUCCAUGUUAGGACUGACGGGUGCAUCUUAACUGAGAUGCAGACAGUGGACAAUUCGAACUCUGACCUGAGAGCAAGCCCCAGCCUUGGUGCUCAUAAAUGCUCCGCUUGGUCCUUCACAUUUGUGUUCCACACAGGAGAAGCCAAGUUGUGAGCAGUGCACCUUCACAAGCAAAGCCUCGACUGAAAUCUUCUCUAACAAUUGGCUGGUCACUCCUGAGCGUAAUCUACCCCUUCAGAACACUGGGGAUGAAUUUAGAGACAUCGAAGCCUCCUGAUGAGAAAUACGUGUCCACUCACCGGGAGAACUGAAAUACCAGGAGAUUUCUACACAAAUCUCACAGAGUCCUUCUGGCGUCCUAGGGGUUUGCUCACAUAUAAGGGACUUUCUGGUAGGAAGAGAGUCUCUUUACAUUCUUUAUUAUAUGAUCCUGGUGGCUUUGUAGAGAGAUGGUACAGCUGACAGAUCAUGUCCUGUGGGGCCAGGGAGUUGUGUGUGUGUGAAUGCUCUGUGAACUUGGGCAAACUACUUAGCCUCUCUGAGCCUUAGCUGCAUCAGCUUUGAAAAACAGGAUGAUAAAAUGGAGUCACCUUAUUUGACUUUUAUAAAUACACUUACACAAUUACACAAGUUGUGGGGAUGGGAAGAGAGAGUUGGGGAAAGAGAAAUGAGAGAGAGAGAGAGAGAGAAUGAAUGAUAAACAAUUUAAACAACAGUGGGGUGUAGACCAACGCCCAGCCUGGCAAGGGUGAGCCCAGAGAGCCUUCCCUCCUGGCUAUUGGCAGCCUCCGCAUGGAAGCCUGUCGUUGACUUCUUAAUGAUGAGAGAUGUUCUGGGGGCACUCCAGGAUUCUUGGACAUGGGAUCGUCUUCACAGCUGUGUCUAUUGAAAGCUGAAGUUUCAGUCUCCCCUGCCCCCUGCCCCCUGGAGUGGCUUCCCAGGGGAAAUUCAAGGGCACCUGUGACUGCAUGGCUGCUUUCCUUUCCUUUACUCAAUGCCGUCCUUUGGUGACAGCCGUGUCUCAUGCCAGGAUACAUGAGGUGCUCUAUAGUAGUAUGUUUUCCCUCCUGGGAGGUAAUUUUAUUUAAAUGUGAAGUCAAAAGGAUCACUAAAUAGAACCAUGAGGCAACCACUCUGGGCACCUGCCUGGUGAUAUCCACAAGAGCUGACCACAGGUGCCCCCUGUGCCCAGCAAGUCCUUGGCUGGGCAGUCACACAACAGGCAUGGGGAUGUGUGGCCACCAAGCCCUCCAGGGCAGUGCUAUUUGUAAUAGUCCCAAAUGGGAGAGAUGGCAAACGCCCGCCAAUGGGGCAGCAUGGAUAAAUGGAUGCUGCACAGCAACGGCGAUGAGUGAGCCCCAGCACCCGUGAGCUCACCAGUGUAAUAUUGGGUGGAAGAAGCCAGGAGGAAGGGCAUUCACAUUCUGUGAUUCCAGCUACACUAUGUUUAAAUAUGGGCAGAGCUAGGCUGUGGUGCUGGAAGCCAGGACAGUGGGAUCCUUGCAUGGGGGUGAUGGUGCUGGUAGGUUCUGGUAAUUUCCUCUUCUUGAUCUGGGUGUAAACAUUUUGUGAAAAUUCAAUGAGCUGUACAUUUAUGACUGGUACAUUUAUGACUUUGUAUGAAUAUUAUACUUUCAUAAAACUACUUUAAAAUAUGAUUGUGAACCUUUUUUCACCUAUUUUCUGCCAAUUAGCACCGAAUUGCUCACUAACUAAUGAGUGGUGCUGGUUUUGACUUGCUUGCUACACUGUCUUGAGACAGAUAGGGUUUUCUGUGCUUUGUAUGACCCCCUCUGGAACCAGGGUGGGACUGGGAACACUCGGAAAACAUGUGCUGACAGAUGCUGGGCAUCCCCGUGUUGGUGGAGGCAUGCUCAUUCCUCAGCAAAAUACCCAUAUGGGGUGUUGGCAGGAAAGAGGACAGAAAAGGACAAAGUAUUUGUCUCUGCUAGCGUUCCUGGAGCUGUCUCACCUUGGCCAAGCCCCCGCCCAGUCCUCUCCUAACGUGGACAGACUAGGGGGCAGAAACUAGUCAGCCAAAGAAUUUCCAAGCUAGGGGUUGAUGAAUGCUUGGAUAAUUUGCCCAUGAACACGUUGGAUUCUUCUUCACUUGCCAUCACGGGGGGAUAAGUACCCCAGUUUUUUUUUGGAGAGAAUUGAGGGACUGUGCCAUUGCAGUGUGGAUUUCAAGAGAUUUUAAACGGAAGGCAGAGUAACAGUGUGGUUUGGGAAGCUCUAAAGACAGUUGUCCUGGUGCGGUUUCUUCCAUAAAAGAGUGGGGACGCCAUGGACCUGCUCACCAAAUUCCAGUCCCGACACAGUUCUGUGAGGCACUCUCCACAUCAGGGCAGACGGGCAGGAGGAGUUUACACAGCGAUCUGGGGGCCAUUAGAGCACUGAGGGAUCCAUUGCUGUCUCUUGUUUCUGUUUCCCACACUGUGCUGGGUGCUGGGAACAUGACGAUGAACUUGAAGGAAAUAAUGUGUACGGUGGUUCAUUUCCAAGACAUAGUGCCUUGAAUCAGUUUAGGUCAGCAAACUACAGAAGAAACAGGAUAUACUAGGCCCCUGCUUGGAGAGCUGAUGCCUGUUUGUUGCCCCUCACCCCCUUAGUUGCCCUUACCAGAACCAAAGGAGUUUAGUCUAAGAUGAAAGUUUACUAGCCUGCAAAAUAGCUCACUUUGUCUGUUCUUAUCAGCCUGCCCAGCUACUUAGGUCAUAAGUGAAAUACUUGAAGAGCCCCUGAGCUAACUAGGAUUGCAAUGCAUUGUGGCUGCAACAAGAUGCAGCAAGACAACUGUAAAGAAAAUGCCUAAAACCCCUACCCACCAACCCAUAGGCGAUGUCCAGGAAGACUGUGACCUCCAUAGUACUCAGCAUUUGAGGAACUGGGGGAGGGACCUGUGCACUAGGGGAUAAAUUGCUUGUUGAAACUGUGCUGGGUGUGCCUGUCCAUCAGAUACCCUAUCUUGCAAGACUGUCG
rnacentral:lncRNA from 1 species